CUAUUCAUACAUGAGAAUUGAAAAGUUUCCUAAAAAUGAACAAUAGGCUCUAGUACUCUUUCCUAAAAAUGAGAAUUGAUCUUCAGUAGUCCUUUGCGCCGCCUCUCAACCAUGUUCAUCUCAGCUGCGAAACGGGAGUUUUUGACAUCUUCACUUGGUGCUGGUAAUUCCUUUCUCUCCCAUCUUUUUGUUGUUUUUGUAUUUGUCAAUCUAAUCUGAUAAAAAGCUCUUUCAGAUGGUUGGGGUUCAUUCCCCUGAUAUUGAAAAAUAAUGGCCAGUUUAUUACCCUUCUCAGUGUAACGUAAGUUUCCAGAUCCUGUAGCUCCUUGAGAAAUGCUGAUGUUGAUUGUACUGGUGUUGUUAUCUCUUCCUCUUUAGGUAUUGUUGAAAAUUUUCUUCAGAUCCCGAGGAGUAUGGCCUGUCAAGCAGGGAAGCUCCAUCUACCCUUAUUUUUUGUGAAGGUUUUUGAUUACUAGAGCAUUUAUCUAGACAUAGCACAGUAAAGUACUUGUUUAAAUUGCUCAAACCUUGACUGUGCCCCUGCUUUGUUUCCGAGGGCUUGUAAAAUUUAGGACCCCUAGCUUUCUCAUCUCUUUAAUUGACUAAAUCGACAGCUAGUUCUGAAUGUAAUUAUGCAUAUGACUGAAUCUGUCUCGUUCUGAUCCUCAGAUUAGGGGUUUGUGUUUUAUUCAUGUUAAUGUGCUUUCUGAUUCUUGCUGGUAGCUCAUAGAAACUGUGAUAUUUUGUGCUCAACUGUGCAUCAAUUACUUCAUUUGCUAAAGCAUCUGCUACUGUAUUUCCUUCUCUAAAAGUAUGUUGUUUCUUUGCUUGAAUUGCAUGAAUUCUGUCCCUCAUAUCUUCAAUCUGUUCAAUUAAUUCCCAAGGUACUUUCCACAGCCUGUUAAUCAUCUUCAUAAGAACUAAUGAGUCAGUCUCUAUGAUUACUUUCCUCAAAUCCUUUUGUUGCAUAUACUUUAAAGCAUCAUUUAUUGCUUCUAUUUCAGCUUGUGUGUUAGUAGUAAUACCCAAACUUUUUGCUUUUGCAUACACCAAAUCCCCUCUGUCAUCUCUAAUACAGAAUGCACACGCACUGAUUCCUGGAUUACCCCUGCUUGCACCAUCCGUAUUACACUUGAAUCUGUUCUUUUCUGGAAAAAUCCACAUCACACUACAAUAAUGUAAUCUUGGCUUAUAUCUUCUCAGCCUGCUCACUAUUUCUGGCCAGCUCUCCUCACCCAUUUUAAUCCAUGGAUAUAGUUUUUUAAUCAAUUUUCUAAUCACCUCUUGACAUUGCCAUACCAGCUCUUCAUAUCUAACAUUUCCACCAUGUUUUAUUGUGUUUCUUCUCUUCCAGAUAUUCCACAUGAUAAUUGUUGGUAUGAUUUUGUAGACUACUUCCAGCUUUGUUGUUGCUUUGAUAGUCCACCAUUCCAUUAUAAUCUCCGGCAAAUGCAUCUCCUCUAUGUCAAUACCUGCACAAAUAGCAAACUCCUUCCAUAGUUUUAAAGCUAUAGGGGCUGUUAGAAAAUUUUAAGGUUUUAAUCACUUAAAGGUAAAAAACUAUUUUUUUAAUCCUAUCCAAACGGACUCCUAGUUUGGUGGUUUUACAACUAAAGUUUCUUAUUGAUUUGCGGUGGGAAAUUUCGAUAAUACCCAAUUACCCCCUGAAUUAUAUCCAAAAAGGCUAUAAUACAUCUCAACUUAAAGGGGGUCCUAUUACCCCAUGAACUAAUUAAAAGUGUAAUUUUGACACCCUUAAUGCCUAUGUGGCACAUACGUGGCAUAACAUAUUGAAGUGUCCACGUAGGCACACGUGUGUGCCACGUAUGUGCCAUGUAGGCACUAAGGGAGUCAAAAUUGCACUUUUAAUUAGUUCAGGGGUAAUAGGACCCUCUUUAAGUUGAGGUGUGUCAUAACCUUUUUAGAUAUAGUUCAGGGGGUAAUUGGGUAUUUUCUCUAAGAAAUAUGCAUAAAUUAGUAAUAUAAAGAUUAAUAAUACAAAACUAGUAAAUUAGAGUUUAGUAAUACAUAUAUUGAUAAUAUAGAAAUAGUUUUUUCGAAUAUUGAUUUACUGUGAAUACACCGUGCAUAAUUUAUGUUUUACCUUUUAAACAAAAUGUAAGCUUAAUUGUCUCGAAGAGGAAAAAUAUAAAUUUGAAUUUUUUAAACUAUCUUGUCAUUAGAAUUAUUUAAACUAUGUAUUACGUAUUAAUGAAAGAUUUGUACAUGUAGAAGGAAACCUCAUAGUACAAGUGAUUGCCAAUGCCUCUAUUAUACAGAUGAUGUACAAAUUUUUAAGGAUCAAACUUAUACACGAUUAAUAUGUAAAAUACAAAAUCAAUGUCCUGUGCAUCUUAUAAGUCGUAUACUUAUCCUAAGACCCCCUCUAGUGAAGGGGAAGAACUUAGUUGCAAGACAAAAUUGUUUAUCUCAGUUGCAGGACAAAAUUAUUUAAUGGGAAAAUGGUAUAGUUAAAUUAUUUAAUGGGAAAAUGGUAUAGUUAAAUUGUAUGAGGUCAAUGACACACAUUAUCAAUUUAACUUAUUAGAUUGGUUGAUUGACAGUUCGAAUAUUGAACAGGUAAGGAAAAUGCAACUUAAUUAAAUAAGAAAUAAAGCAGAGAGAAGCUCAAGGCUUCAAUGAGGUGUCUAGUAAUGCGUUUGAGGAUGAUUCUCUUAUUUCUGGUGAAGAUUUUGAAUGAGUAAAGCUAAAAGAAAACAAAACUAAGUAGGCAAGUAGAAGUUCAACGUUCAAGAGUAAAAAGUUGUGUUCUAUUUCUUAGAGAUCAGAGGGUCAUUUACAAUGAGACAUACGUAGUAAACUAUUUAUAGGUUAUAUGAGUGAGGUCUCACUCAACAAGAAUGUUCAAUGCGAGACCUAACUAUACCCAAUGGUUGUAUGAAACAUGGAGAUGCUAGCCAAUAUUUGAAACACCCGAGAAUGUGACCUUGCAAAAAUUUUUGGUUGAUUAGUAGUGAUCAUGAUAUGUGUGUUGUAUUGUAUCCUUGAGGUGUGUUGUUUCUAACUUGAGUAAAGAUUUCUUUGGUGUACGUUGAGGUGUUAACUUGUAUCUAUACUUACCUAUCAAAGUGGGAGAUAAUUGAUACACCUAGACCUUGGACCAUUGGUAAAACAGCAGCUUUGAAUGUCUCUGGAGUGGUCACGAUUGAAUGGCUUGAGUCGUACCCUUGGUCACGACUCGUAGCCUUCUCCCUAUACCCUCUCGUAUCCUAGACAGAAUACUAAGGUAGUAUUCUCUUUUCUAUACGAUUUGACCAUCCCUUGGUCAUAACCAAUGCAUACAAGUUGUAUGUAACUCAACCGUGAAGAGAGAAACCUCAAACCUAGUGGACUGUUUUGGUUAUGGGUGGUCUAUAUAAGUUAGGAAAUGAGUCGUACCCUUUGGAUACGACUCAAUAGUGCCUAGUCGUACCCUAACCAGUGUUGUUGACCUAGGGAAAACCUAGGGUACGAGUUAGGGUAUCACUCGUACCCUAGGUCACGAUUGCUAUGUGAAUCGUAAAGAGGAGUCAUACCCCUACACGUAUGGAUUUUUCAGCUUUUAACCAAAGACGUUUUGGUCAUUUCCAUCGCCUAAAACCCUAAACCCUCUUACUAUAUAAGGCAUUGUAGCCUCCCAAUUAUUCAUUGGCAAGACUUAAACCUUCCAAAAUACUUUAAAGGCUCUUGAAGCAAGAUUGGAGGCAAGGGUUUGGAGGUGUUCAUCUUGUGGUAAGAAAUGGGUCAAGAUUAUUGGUAUGUGAUCUUGUUUAAGGCAUGUAUCUCUUCCCCUAUUUAAAUAACUCUAAACUCAUGUAUUUCAUACUUGAAUUAGUAAGUGUACAGGGUGGUUUUGAAUCAAAUGAAAAAGGGUUUCACUAUCUAACAAUGAAUAAUGAUGAUUCUUGCUUACACUUAUGUUGAUAUAUGAUAUUGAUGGUAGAUUGUGUAUGUGGGUGCUUGUUAUGUGUUGUUUAACAUGAGGGUCUUGAGUAACCCUGAUCUUGAUGAUUUCUACCAUGAAAAUGACCUUGUUAAAGGUAUGCUCACAAGGUAUUUGUGAAAUGUCUAAGUGAAAUGACUAGUUACUUGUUGAUGGUGUAUUGAGUUAGGGCAGUGGCCGAAAUGAGUAUGAAUGACUGAUAAAUUAUGUUUUAAAAGGUAUUGUAAGCCUUGUAUUGUGAAAUUGAUGACCUUGUUGGUUAACGGUUAAUAAGAGGGUGAAACCCUAGGCAAGAUGAUGAGCUUAAGUUGUGUAUUAAACCAAGCAAGGGUGAAAAUAUGAUUUAACAUUGCUAAUUAAAGGUGAAUAGUUUGUGUGGGUCAUGAUGACCAUAACUUGAAUUGUGUGAUGAAGUGAGUUAAGACAUUGGCCUGUUGAAAUGGUUGAUCAAUGAAGGCCCCCAGAAGGGCCAUAUGAUCAUGUAAAGUAUUGAAUUUAGUUAAAUAUGUUAAAGUCCUUAUGUGUGGAAUUGAAUGCAUGUGAAUUCUUGGUAAAUGGUUGGUAAAUUCCUUAUUGGCCAUAUGAUGACUAGAUCCAUAUCCGAUUGGUUGACUAAAUGGUCAUAGUCCCUAAAGUAUGAACUCGGAUUGUGUUUGAAUAAAAGGUGCGUAUAGGCUUAAUAAGUAUGAGUGAUUGUUGGUAGGAGUCUUGAUGACCAUAAAUGAACUUGCAUUGUGUUAUGAACUAAGGCCUUGGGCCUAGACGUGUGAGCAAUAGCCAAAUGAGCUGGAAGGAAUCAUGUGAUGGUCUAGGUAUCGAUGUGUAGCCUCGAUGGCUUGAAUGUCUUGAGAUGGGUUGAGUUCCUAUGUGAUGUAUUGAAUGGGAGCUAGUAUGUGUAUAGAGACGUGUUGGUUUGUGGUCCAAGUCCGCUUAACAUAUACGGCGUAUUGGUUUAUAGUCCAAGUCCGCUUACCAUAUAUGAUGUGUUGGUUUGUGGUCUAAAUUCGCUUAUCAUAUAUGGCGUGUUGGUUUGUAGUUCAAGUCCUCUUACUAUAUAUGGCGUGUUGGUUUGUGGUCCAAGUCCGCUUACCAUAUACGAUGUGUUGGUUUGUGGUCUAAGUCCGCUUACCAGAUACGACGUGUUGGUUUGUGGUCCAAGUCCUCUCACCAUAUAAGGUGUGUUGGUUUGUGGUCUAAGUCCACUUACCAUAUACGGCGUGAUGGUUUGUGGUCCAAGUCCACUUACCAUAUAAGGCGUGCUGGUUUGUGGUCCAAAUCCACUUACCAUAUAUAGUUUGAGGCUCAUGUCCCCUUGCCUAUUAUAGCGUAAAGGAUCCUAUGUGUCUAAAAUAUAAGGGUGGAGGGUUGGUAGUCCUUCGCCCCAUGUCUCAAGAAUGAAUGUAUCAUAAAUGCAUGUUAUGACUUGUUUCAUGAUUUGACUUCUUGUGUCAACAUAUGUAUAUAUGUCUUCAAUAUGUCUAUUCUUAAGUAAAUGCGAUUGCCUAUGAUAAAAUGACAUAGAUUUGAGCAAAUAUAGUAUUUUUUCCUUAUCCUUGAGUUAUAUGCUAGCUUCCAACCGCUAACCGUCCCCGGACAUUACGUCCCCAUGCGACGAGGGCCCGAAGCUUCUUUUUCUUUUCCCAUACAGUGAUUGGGUGAUCGAAACGGAUCGUGCAUUGACUUAAAGUGGUGAGCUUUCUUUCUCCGGAAGGAAUUCAUCUCUCGGUCUCCUAUCUUUAGACUUAGUCUCUUUUAGAUUUGGUUUAGCUAUUAUCGGGGACUUGUCCUGACAUAUACUUUUAUUGAGAUGGGUUUUGUAUAGAGGCAUUGUGAAUAGCUGUGGACUUGGGUAUAUUGUUUAGUUUGAUGGACCUAAUGAAAUGUAUAGACAUAUCUAAUCUAUGAAUUUUAUCGCUGUUGUUUCCGCUCUCUUGACUUAUGAGUUAAAGUUCUUUUUACUCCUAUGAUAUGAUGAGACAUUUGGGGAUAGGAUACUGUGGCGACCUCUAAUUUAUGUGAGCUUGAGGUGCCCAUACUACAUGUCCUCAACUUCGAGGAAUGUCAAGUUGGUAUCAGAGCCUAGGUUCAUGGUCAGUUGGGAGUUCACAUUAUCGUGUCAAGUAGAGUCUCUUUUAUGGGUGUGACGCACGUCAUACUUAUAAAAAAGGGGCUAUAAGACAUCUUAGGAAUGUUUCCCUUUCUUGUGUUUCAAUCUCAAGAUGUAAAGUCUAAGGUCUUGAAUUUCUCUAAUUUGGUUUGGUGCAUUUCAGAUCAUGCCUCAAAGGAGAUCUGAGAUUCAGGCUAAUACUUCGGCCCUGGCUGAGGGUCCUAUAGAUGAAGCUCGUCUAACUUCUAGUGUUUAGAAUCGGGAUAGGGCUAUGACAUCUGGCCAUCCUCAUGGGGUUCUACCAACCAACCCUGUUGAUGAGAGUGGCAUUCCUUCCCAAUCACCUCAAAGGGAUGCUACUAAUGAAAAUUUUUGUCGCUCUAUCAACCUCUUGACUUAAUUGGUAGCUUCUCAAAUUGGGAGUGGUGGCUUUUUUGUUCUAUUCUCUAAGGCCACAAGGGUUGGCCAAUUCAUGAAGUUGCACCCUCGUAUGUUUACGGGUGUGAAAGUUGAGGAAGAUCCCUAAUGUUUCAUUGAUGAAAUAAAAAAGUUAUUUCGGAUUAUGCAUGUUUUGGAGGUGAAGGGUGUCGAGUUUGAUUUUUACCAAUUAAAAGAUAUAGCGUACCAAUGGUACGAAGAGUGGGAGAUGGAUAGAGGUGUGUGUGCUAGUACGAUCGAGUGGGAAGAUUUCUCUAGUGACUUCCUUGACUGCUUCUUUCAUCAAGAGUUGAGUGAAGCAAAAGUGGAAGAGUUUGUGAAUUUGAGGCAAGGUGGGACGCCCAUCAAUAAGUAUGCUUUGAGAUUGCAUCAGUUGUCAAGGUAUGCCCCUAAAAUGGUGUUAAGCAUGAGGGCUAGGAUGCGUAAAUUUGUUUUGGGACUGUCUCCCGAAUCGGUCCUUGAGAGUAAGGUGGCCUUGUUGAUUAGUGACCUGAACAUUUCUACGUUGGUUGUGUAUAUGUAAUAAGUGAAAGAAGAGAAAAAGAAACAAGGUGAGAUUAGUGAGAGGCAAGGUAAGAGGUCUUGGCCGUCUGAGCUAAGUGAGGGCCAGCAGCCUAGUGGUAGGUUAUCUAGGAGGAAGAACUGGGUGAGUAGUGAUUCUUAGUCCAGUGGGACCUAGUCAGAGCUGACCUACCCUCCUUGUAGAUUCUAUGGUCAGCAUCACAGUGGUGAGUUUGAAAAGGGGAAGAACAGAUGUUUUUAUUAUGGCCAGUUUGGGCACAUGUAGCGACAAUGCCCUUCUCGAGUGUCUUCUCGGGGUGACACAACCCCUAUUUCUACUUUAUCUACUCUUACAUCGAAGAGUGCUAUCUUUGCUUCUGUUUCUAAUACCGAUGCUGGCCGGAGUCGCUUGUAGGCACUUUCUACUCACCAGGGGUUCAAGGUAUCUCCUAAUGUUGUUACUAAUAUAUUGAAAACUCCUUAUCCAUGUUGUGUAUGGUUAUGUUUUGCUUGGUAUGUUGGACCUCAUCUAUGAUUGUGUAUUUCAAUUUGGUUUUGAGUCAUUUGAGCUCUCUUCUCUAUUCUUACACUGAUAAGAGACUCUGUGGUUGUAAGGAGUAUAUCGAGGGUGUAUGAUAACUGUUGAUAAUAAAGAAAGUCUUGUUGAUUGAUAUAGGUGGACAUAAUUGUAUUUGAUGUCAAUUGGGGGUGAAUCAAUUGCAUUCGUGCUAUGCUUCCUUAGAUUGUUGGGCCCCUAAGGUCGUUCCUUCCCUAAUGAGUUUGUCAUUGUAGGGGAAGAAGGUCCCUUGAGCGCUAAAGGGAUAGUUCUCCCUACAAGGGUCUAAGUUGAAUUGGACUUACCCUCUAGCAUGAGCUCGGUUCUUUUAGUGUCUCAUAUCCUCUUAUUGAGGGCAUAUAUGAUCUUUUGUUGGUCGUUCCCUUAGAGGACGUUGGUAUGUUGGAAUUUUUGUCCUAUGAGGAUAUCUCAGUGGGGAUCUUGGAUAAAAAAUUUUGCUGGUUACGAACGAUGGAAGUGGCUUUGAUGAAGGUCCUAUGGAAGAACAAAAAGUUUGAGCAAGCUACGUGGGAAAUGGAAGAGGACAUGAAGUCUGAGUAUCCGCAUUUGUUUUCUAUUCCGACAACUUAUGAUGGGAUUGGAUUCCCUAGUGAAUAAAAUGAAAUGGUUAAUUGAUGAUGAUCAUAAUAUGGUUAUGAUUCAUGCUAAUGUGUUGACUUGUGUUCAUGCUUACCUUACCCAUCAUUCGCGGACUAUUGAUCCUAAGUGGGCGAGAAUAAAACACCUGAGAAUGUGGCCUUCCAAAACUUUUUGGUUGAUUGGUAGUGAUCAUGAUAUGUAUGUUGUGUUGUAUCCUUGUGGUGUGUUGUUUCUAACUUGAGUAAAGAUUUCUUUGGUGUAUGUUGAAGUAGUAACUUGUAUCUAGACUUAUCUAUCAAAGUGGGAGAGAAUUGAGACACCGAGACCUUGAACCAUUUGGAAAACAACAACUUUGGACGUCUCUGGAGUGGUCAUAAUUGAAUGGCUUGAUUCGUACCCUUGAUCAUGACUCAUAGCAUUCUUCCUCUCCCUCUCAUAUCCUAUACUGAAUACUAAGGUAGUAUUCUGGUUUCUAUAUGAUUUGACCAUCCCUUGGUUGUUACCAACGCAUACGAGUCGUAUGCAACUCAACCGUAAAGAGAGAGGCCUCAAACCUAGUGGACUGUUUUGGUUACGGGUGGUCUAUACGAGUUAGGUCACUCUCGUACCCUUUGGAUACGACUCAAGGGUGCCUAGUCGUACCCUAACUAAUGUGGGUGAUCUAGGGAAAGUCUAGUGUACAUGUUAGGGUACCACUUGUCCCUAGGUCACGAUUGCUAUGUGAACCGUAAGGUGGAGUCGUACCACUGCACAUGUGGAUUUUUCAGCUUUUAACCAAGGACCUUCUGGUCAUUUCCCUCGCCUAAAAUCUUAAAUAAGGCAUUGUAGCCUCCCAAGUCUUCAUUGGCAAGACUUAAACCUUACAAAACACUCUAAAGGCUCUUGAAGCAAGAUUGGGGGCUAGGGUUUGGAGGUGUUUAUCUUGUAGCAAAAAAGAGGUCAAGAUUGUUGGUGUGUCAUGUUGUUUAAUACAUGUAUCUCUUCCCCUAUUUAAAUAAUUCUAAACCCAUGUAUUUUACACUUGAAUUAGUAAGUGUACAUGAUGAUUUUGAAUCAAAUGAAAAAGGGUUUCACUAUCUAACAAUGAAUAAUGAUGAUUUUUGCUUAUACUUGUGUUGAUAUAUGAUAUUGAUGGUAGAUUAUGUAUGUGGGUUCUUGUUGUGUGUUGUUUAACGUGAGGGUCUUGAGUAACCCUAACCCUGAUGAUUUCUACCAUAAAAAUGACCUUUUUAAAGGUAUGCUUACAAGGUGUUUGUGAAAAUGUCUAAGUAAAAUGACUAGUUACAUGUUGAUAGUGUAUUGAGUUAGGGCAAUGGCCCAAAUGAGUAUGAAUGAUUGAUAAAUUAUGUUGUAAAAAGUAUUUCAAGCCUUGUAUUAUGAAAUUAAUGACUUUGUUGGUUAAUAAUUAAUGAGAGCUGAAACCUUAGGUAAGAUAAUGAGCUUAUGGUGUGUAUUAAACCAAGCGGGGGCGAAAAUACGAUUUAACAUUGCUAAUUAAAUGUGAAUAGUUUGUGGGGUCAUGAUGACCAUAACUUGAAUUGUGUGAUGAAAUGAGUUCAGGCAUUAGCCUAUUGAAAUGGUUGAGCAAUGAAGGCCCCCAUGAAGGCCAUAUGAUUAUGUAAAGUGUUGAAUUUGGUUAAAUGUGUUAAAGUCAUUAUGUGUGGAAUUGAAUGCAUGUGAAUGUUGGCCACAUGAUGACUAAAUUCAUAUCCUUGAUGAUUGGUCUACUAAAUGGUCAUAGUCCUUAAAGUAUGAACUCAGAGUAUGUUUGAAUAAAAGGUGCUUAUAGGAUUUUUAAGUAUGAAUGAUUGUUGGUAGGAGACUUGAUGACCAUGAAUGAACUUGCAUUGUGUUAUGAACUAAGGCCUUGGGCCUAGCCAUGUGAGCAAUGACCAAAUGAGCUAGUAGGAAUCAUGUGAUGGUCCAUGGUGUCGAUGUGUAGCCUCGAUGGCUUGAAUUCCUCGAGAUAGGUUGAGGUCCUAUUGAUGUCUUGAAUAGGUGCUAGUAUGCGUGUAGAGACAUGUUGGUUUGUGGUCUAAUUCCGCUUACCAUAUAAGGCGUGUUGGUUUGUGGUCCAAGUUCGCUUACCAUAUACGACGUGUUGGUUUAUGGUCCAAGUCUGUUUAUCAUAUGCGGCGUGUUGGUUUGUGGUCCAAGUCCAUUUACCAUAUUCGGCGUGUUGGUUUAUGGUCCAAGACCGCUUACCAUAUACAACGUGUUGGUUUGUGAUCCAAGUCCGCUUACCAUUUAAGGCGUGUUGGUUUGUAGUCCAACUCUGCUUACCAUAUAUUGCGUGAUGGUUUGUGGUCCAAGUCCACUUACCAUAUCAGGCAUGUUGGUUUUUGGACCAAGUCUGCUUACCAUAUGCGGCUCGAGGCUCUUGUCCUCUUGCCUAUUAUAGCAUAAAAGAUCCUAUGUGUUUAAGAUAUAAGGGUGGAGGGUUGGUAGUCCUUCACCCCAUCAUGAAUGAAUGUGUCAUAAAUUCAUGUUAUGACUAAUUUCAUGAUUUAAAUUGUUGUGCCACCAUACGUAUAUAUGUCUUCAAUAAGUCUAUUCUUAUGUAAAUGUGAUCGCCUAUGAUGAAUUGACAUAGAUUUGAGCAAAUGAACUAUUGUCUCCUUAUCGUUGAGUUACAUGCUAGCAUUCUUACCGUUAACCAUCUCCGGACGUUAUGUCCCCAGGAGACGAGGGACCGAAGCUUCUUCUUCUCUUCCCGCGCAGUGAUUGGGUGAUCGAAGAGGAUUGUGCAUUGACUUGAAAUGGUGAGCUUCCUUUCUCCGGAAGACAUUCUGUAAUACCCUGAGAAUCCCAACCAAUGGUAGAACCAUGAUUCAAGCUCAUGAGAAAUAAAUUAUAGUGAUUUGGUAUUUUUAUGAUCAAGUAUGAUGCAUAUUAAUUCCUCAAAUACGUCCUAGCUAUUGGACGAAUCAAAACAUUCCUUACCGAUUGAAUUCUUGAGAAGGACAUUUCUAUAGUCAAUUUCAAACGAGAAUAUCUCCGAUUCUACUGAGAAUUAUUAAUCUCAUGACAUACCAACAGAUAGAUAAUUGAAUUAGCUUUCCAACGAUAACAAUUUUGCCAAAAUCCGGCAUCGGAGUCAAAAGUUAUGUCCGUUUUACUGAGAGCUGCCCGAGCAGUCCAGGAGUGACAGACAAAAUGACGGAUCGUCAAGUCAGUGACGGACAGUCACUGUGGCCGUCACAACUGAACCAGUGAGGCCGUUUUCUGGACCAAAAAUGAUGGUUGGAGUGACUGUUAGUCACCAGAAUGACGGUCCGUCACUCAGACCAUCAGUUUUGUCCGAAACAGCGCUAAAACGCCAUUUUAAGAGAUAUUUGGGCCUUUUCCCACCCUAUUUAACACCCAAUCACCUCAAAUCGAAGCACGUAACUUCUCAUUCAUCCAUAAUAUCAAAAUUAGGGUUUCUUUCAAGAUAAAACCCAAGAACAAGAUUCAAACCCUUCUCCAAGAAAACUCGAGAAUCAAACCAUCACCAUUCAAGAACUCUUAAGAAAAGUUAACCUCCUUCAAGAUUUGGGUUUUUAUUACUCUAUGAUUAUCUCAAGCUCCAAGAAAACUAGUUGAUUAGGGAUUCAAUUUCAAGAAAUUUCCACCGUUAAUCUUCAAGAAUCUUCCAUCUAAGGUAUGCGUAGUGUUCAUCCAUGGAUCUCUUUCAUCCAUGGAGCUCAAGAAUCAAGUUUUAAAAUCUUGAAUUGUGAUUAUCUUGUUGUGGUAUGAUUAUGUUCAUGUUGAUGGUUGUUAUUUGGUAUCUUGAUGUAUUUUCACGAAGUAUGUGAGCAUGUUAGUUGAAAUCCAUGAAUUUGGGUGGCUUAAGUUUGUUAAAUUGAUAAGUAUACCUAUGCCCAAAGUUGUGCAUGUAAGGUGUUUGUUAAAACGCCUAGAAUGAUAGAAAUUAUGUAUUAUAGCUUAGGGAUGAAUUAUUUGAUAAAUUCAUGCUAGUCUAUUAUGUUCAAAGGGCUCACAUGUUGUUCUUGUGCAAUAUAUGUGUUAAUGGAAUGUGCAUGAUGAUUGGAGAAUGGAUUCAUAGUAUGUCUAUACGCAUUCCAUGUUAUGAACAAGAUCAUGAUUAUGAAGUACCACAUAAGUUAUCCCUCAAUUAUUACAAUAUGAACUAAAUGUUACAUGUUUGCUAUUCCCUUAUGUUUAAAUGGUUCCCAUGCAAUUGUUAUGAAAAGUAUAUGUUGUCGGAAUGCCCAUGAUAUUAGAACAUGAGGUUUAUGACUUGAUUUCAAGCAUUCCCAUUCAUGUUAGAUAUUAUGAUGACCAUGUACUUCAUGAAAUCCCUCACUCAUGUAUUAUGGAUUAUUAUUGAUGGUCAUGUAUUCAAAAAAGUCACGCUGUGUCAGUUUUCUUCCAUUGAGUCCUAGGGGUACUUGUACCCGAAAAAUAUAGUUGUGUGCCUAGAGCCAUGUCAUAUUUUCAUGAUACUCUCAGUCAAGCCAUGUUCAGUAGAAUUCAGUCAGUCUCAUGACUCAGGAAAACUCAAGUAAAUUCAGUAUCAGCUCAGUCCUACUCAGUACUCAGUAACUUCAGUAAUCUCAAUAAUUUAGUACUCUCAGAACCUUAUGAACUCAAUCCGUUAGCAAAUUCAACAAUAUUUCGUCAGUCAAUAGAAGUCAGUUACUCAGUCCAUGUACCGUCAGUUAAAUCACAUUCAGUCUUAUUAGAUAGGAGUAGAAGUUAGCACCGAGGGAACCCAAGGAUGGGAAAUCACCUGCCAGUUUAGGGUAAGAUUCUUAGCAGUCAUCCUUGUGUUCCAAAACUACGUAGCCAGCGUAGGUUGAGACAUCUUAACCUGUAAGAUUAGGGUUGAUGACGUGGCUUAACUUGUCAGUUUAAGGUUCCCACCAUUCUUUUUUUUGAGUACCUGCUAGAUAAGGGUCACUCAUAGCUUAUCCUUACCAGUGGCGCGGUAUUGACACCCUUCUAGUCAGGGUAGAGAUUGGAUCCUAGCUCAGAUAUAAUAGCAUAUAUGAGGUAUGUCAGUUAGAUAACUACUUCCCAUAGUCUCAGUUUCAGUCUCAGUCUCAGUAAAAGAACUCAGAUAGUUCUUCAGAUUUCAGGGCUGUUAGAUACAGUCAACUCAGAUUCAGUACGAAACUCAGCUAGUUCUAUCAGAUUCAGGAAUGUCAGAUACAAUCACUCAUGUUAUUAGAUAUAUCACUUCUCAUAACUCAUGUUAUCAAAUAUAUCAGCUAUCAGAACUCAUGUAAUCAGUCUUCAGCUUUAGGACUGUCAGAUACAGUCAACCAGAUCAGUUCUUCAUAAUUUGAACUAUCAAAAAUAAUUAUUCAUAUAUCAGUAAUAUAGUUUCAGUCCUUCAAUAUUUAGCAAUACAGUAUCAGUUCCUCACUUAUCAAUGACUCAAAUAUCAGGAUCAGUAAACUCAGUUAUUCAGUAUCCCAGUAUUCACGUACUUAGAUAUCAGUAAAUCCAUGUUAUUAGUAACCUCAGUAGCCAAAACUCAGUAUUUAGUCCUAUCAUGGUCUCAGUUACAGUUACAUAGCCAUGUAUGUAUUCUCACAUUCAUGUUAGUCAGUCAGUUAUUAUUGUUCAUGCAUAUGAACUCCAUGCAUUUAGCCUACCUCACUUGCAUACCAGUAUAUUCAAAUUACUGACGCAUUCGUGCUAUGGUGUUUUAUACCAUAGGUUUAGAAGCACAAGCUCCAGAGCAUCAGCAGUAGAUUCCAGUCUCAGCAGUCAGAGAUAGAAGUGAGUCCUCAUUUUUUGAGGACAUGAUGAUUUCAUUACUUUUUCAGUUUUCAGUUUAUUUUAGUAGUUGGAGUUAGUUGAGAACAUAUCCCAUCAACUCCUUAUUCAGAUAGUUUAGAUGCUUUCAGAUUAUAGUAUGUUCAGACAGUUAUUUCAGAUUUGUUUUUAUAUUGCUAUACCAUAUUUUCAGUUAUGUAUUAGCAUUGAACCUUAUGGCCUUUCAGUUCAUGUUUCCAUA
rnacentral:lncRNA from 1 species